GACGAACGCUGGCGGCGUGCCUAAUACAUGCAAGUAGAACGCAGUUGCUAACGGGUGAGUAACGUGUAGGUAACUGUCCGGUAGCGGGGGAUAACUAUUGGAAACGAUAGUUAAUACCGAAUAAUAUCAGAUGGACCUGCGUUGUAUUAGCUAGUUGGUGGGGUAACGGCUAACCAAGGCAACGAUACAUAGCCGACCUGAGAGGGUGAUCGGCCUCCUCGGGACUGAGACGCGGCCCCGACUCCUACGGGAGGCAGCAGUUGGGAAUCUUCGGCAAUAGGCGGAAGUCUGACCGCGCAACGCCGCGUGGGUGGAGAGGGUUUUCGGAUCGUAAAGCUCUGUUGUAAGAGAAGCGGUAUCUUACCAGGAAGGGGCGGCUAACUACGUGCCAGCAGCCGCGGUAAUUC
rnacentral:rRNA from 1 species